rnacentral:rRNA from 1 species
AUUGAACGCUGGCGGAAUGCUUUACACAUGCAAGUUGAACGGCAGCACGGACUUCGGUCUGGUGGCGAGUGGCGAACGGGUGAGUAAUGUAUCGGAACGUGCCCAGUCGUGGGGGAUAACGUAGUGAAAAUUACGCUAAUACCGCAUACGAUCUAUGGAUGAAAGCGGGGGAUCGCAAGACCCCGCGGGAUUGGAGCUGCCGAUAUCAGAUUAGGGAGUUGGUGGGGUAAAGGCCCACCAAUCCAACGAUCUGUAGCUGGUCUGAGAGGACGACCAGCCACACUGGAACUGAGACACGGUCCAGACUCCUACGGGAGGCAGCAGUGGGGAAUUUUGGACAAUGGGCGAAAGCCUGAUCCAGCCAUUCCGCGUGCAGGAUGAAGGCCCUCGGGUUGUAAACUGCUUUUGUACAGAACGAAAAGGUUUCUACUAAUACUAGGAGCUCAUGACGGUACUGUAAGAAUAAGCACCGGCUAACUACGUGCCAGCAGCCGCAGUAA